rnacentral:ncRNA from 1 species
AUAAAAGCGAUGACUGGGAUAGUAGGCUUGUCCGGAUGCGGAGAGAGGGCGCGGCUGGUGUAAGCGCCUGUGAAGGACCUUUUGCUGAACCUCACCCACGAGCAGUCCGGCUGAACCGGCGGAAGGCCGCAGUAGGCAGGAACGGUUUCCCUCCGUUACGGGGUAAUGAGCGCAUGGUCAAGGACCAUGAAUUUAGGUGGUACCACGGAGUAUUCAGCUUCGUCCUAUUC